rfam:Solenopsis invicta Si_gnG.contig100495, whole genome shotgun sequence.
GUUCGUUCUCUGUCUACUAAGUUUGAUUGGUUGUUGUGGACCCAGCAACCAAUCAGACUUAGUAGACAGAGAACGAAC